rnacentral:rRNA from 1 species
AUCGAACGCUGGCGGCAUGCCUUACACAUGCAAGUCGAACGGCAGCACGGGAGCAAUCCUGGUGGCGAGUGGCGAACGGGUGAGUAAUAUAUCGGAACGUGCCCAGUCGUGGGGAUAACGUAGCGAAAGCUACGCUAAUACCGCAUACGAUCUAUGGAUGAAAGCGGGGGAUCGCAAGACCUCGCGCGAUUGGAGCGGCCGAUAUCAGAUUAGGUAGUUGGUGAGGUAAAGGCUCACCAAGCCGACGAUCUGUAGCUGGUCUGAGAGGACGACCAGCCACACUGGGACUGAGACACGGCCCAGACUCCUACGGGAGGCAGCAGUGGGGAAUUUUGGACAAUGGG